GGACGCCCGAAUGAGCUCGUUUUCAGAUCGAGCUCCAUCGCUGCUAACCAGAUGCACCUGCGGGAAAACAGAAAAAAAAACUCAAGUACUGGACAACAGGAGAACAAUGAAUCUGACAUCUGAGACGAGCGGCUCUUGGCUGUCCAUAUGGGGCUAGAGAAAAUCUGUUCAUGAUUAUAAAGAAAUAAAGCCCACAGUUACUCUUCAGCUUAAAAGAAGGAAAUGUGCUCUGAAGACCAGCCUUUCAUUCGGUUAGCCGUUAAAAGGCUUGGCUUCCAGACAAGAAUAUGAAUGCUGUUUUGAAGUUGUCUUGGACACAAACUGAAUUCCUCCGAUCAAAGUGAGUUUCCAACACAUUAAAGCUGAUUAAAAAGCAAUGCU